CUUCUGUGCUGGCUGCGGCAUGUGCACGAUGGUGACUUUCAUCCAACACCCUUGUGCACCUUUGGCCUCUUGCUGGCUUCGGCUGGCUGGGGAUUUACACAAACUCGCAUGUAUUGAGGACCCUUCAUGUGCGCAAGCACUAAUAUACAACUUUCAACAACGGAUCUCUUGGCUCUCGCAUCGAUGAAGAACGCAGCGAAAUGCGAUAAGUAAUGUGAAUUGCAGAAUUCAGUGAAUCAUCGAAUCUUUGAACGCACCUUGCACCCUUUGGCAUUCCGAAGGGUAUGCUCGUUUGAGUGUCAUUUGCACUCUCACACUCCCAAUUGCUUUGGAUUGGGAGCGGUGGACUUGGGUGCUGCUGCUUGACUGUGGCUCACCUGAAAUAUGUUAGUGCACCUCUUGAUUGGACAUAGUACGGCGUGAUAAGUGUCUUCGCCGGCUCCUCGCAAUGAGGGGUGGCCGAUCGGGACCUCUGUGCUUUCAAACUGUCUUCGGACAAUCUUCUGGCAACUUGACCUCAAACCAAGUAGGACUACC
rnacentral:rRNA from 1 species